rnacentral:lncRNA from 1 species
CAGUAGUUGCUGGCUAUCUGAAGAACUUGAAAUGAUGAUUGUGCAAGAAGAAUUAUUGGAACAAAGGCACCACCUUUCACAAUGGACAAGUAAGAAAAGUAAACUUCUUUUCCAAUGCUUCCUUUUUCUCUCUCCUCAUCCUGCACAAGUCUGCCGUCCUUUUCUGUUAUCUCUACGCAGAGAUUGUGUUCUGAAUCCUGCUUUGUGACUGGAAAUUCUGCAUUUGUGUUACUUUCUGUAUCAAGCUCACCAUCAUUAAUUGCAUGUUCAGAUACUCUACUUGAGCUUUCAACUGUUAAAAUUGAAUCUAAAGCCUGGUUAUGUGCUCCAACUAGAACUUCAAACCCAAUAUUUUGUUUCAAUAGUUCUCCAAAAUUACCAGCUUGUGCAAUUCUUCCGUUUUGCAUCACCUGUUGAUAUUAAGGAGUUAUAUUUUGGAAUUAAUUUUUUCACAUCAUAGUUUUGAAUGUUGUUCAAAAUUCUGCAAAUCUUAAGAUGCAUCAAGUAUUUUCCAUAAGAGUCUAGGUAUUACUAUUCAAAAGAGUCUUCCUAUUAUUGUUUAAAAUGAUAUUGGCAUCCUAAAUAAGCAACCUCCAAAUACUUGGAAAGGUCUAACAAAUUCAAGCUUGUUUGCACAGUGCAACAAGUAUACAAUUGAUCAAGGAGUAGAUCUUUUUAUUUUGGGAUUUUCUAGAGUUUAAAAAUGACUGUCCCAAUUUUUCUUUUGCUCAGCCCAUAACUAAAAGGCCUGCCUUUUCAGGAUUAUAAGGUGUAUUCGAAUAUGAAAUCCCUUCUUAAAAGGACUUUGAUGUGUUCAUAUAGACAAGUAUAUAUAACUAAAGCGUUCGAAAUUCUUUUAUCUGAUUCAUUCUCAGAGUCGCUGUACAGGCAGGUCAUUGUUUUGUGUGGGUGAUGCCUGAAUUCAUAAAUUAUGCAGAUGCUCUAUCAGUUAAAUGACAUCAAUUGGGUGCAAUAAUGGAACAAAUUGAAACUUAUGCUGUUUUCCUGCAUACCAGAAUGAGAUCUGCUGCAGGAAGAAACUCAACUUGGUGUGUAAUAUAAAGUAUUGUCUUGUCCUUGAGAACGCCCAUCAAGCACUCCUGUGCCAUGAAGAAAAUGUAAAUAUUAGUACUUAAAUACCAUAACAUUACCUCACACCAGAUGGAUAAUGAGGUUUGAAAAGCCAACACUAGAAUUGCUAGUUGAUAGACCUGCUUAACAACCCACCUGAAAGAGGUGCGUGCCUGUGUGAGCAUCAACGGCACUGAAAGGGUCAUCAAGCAGAUAUAUAUCAGCAUCUUGGUAAACCGCACGAGCAAUUUGUAUUCUCUGCUUCUGACCUCCGCUCAUAUUUAUCCCUCUUUCUCCUAUUUCUGUAAGAUCACCAGCAGAGAAUAGUUCAAAAUCUUUUUUCAGAGCACAUGCUUCAACUGUUCUGUCAUACUUGACACUCUCAUAAGGUUUUCCAAAUAGAAUAUUCUCCUUGAUAUUUCCAGUCAAUAUCCAAGGAGACUGAGGAACAUAUGCCACUUCGCCGCUGAUCUUCACAAUCCCUGACAGUUUUGGCAUCUCUCCUAGUACACAAGAGAGCAAGCUUGACUUCCCUGAUCCAACAGUGCCACAAAUUGCCACCUUCAUUCCCCUCUUUGCUUGUAAUUCUAUUCCAUCAAGGGUCGGGGUUCUUGAUUCUGUGUCCCAGCUGAAUUUUCCACUCUUUAUCUCAACCCCAACUUGCGUUUCAUGUUUGGGAACAAAUUCAACUGCAUCGGGUUUAAUCUCAUCUUCCUGUAAGAAUGAAGCAAUUCUAUCAGCAGAAACUUUUCCUUGUGCUAUCACAUUUAGCAAAUCUGGCAAAUUGAAUAUAGGAUUUUGAAGCAUCCGAAAUGUAGCCAAUGCAGAUAAGACCCGCCCUGCAGUCAGUGGAAUGCCCAUCAUAACGCAUCCGGAAAAAGUUGCCACUGAAAUAAAUGUAGGUGAUCCCCAGAAGAUAAAAGCAGUUAGGGCUGACAAUCUUAGUGACUUCCAUAGCCAAUUAUGUUCCACCUUUCUUAAGAUUUCCAGCUUCUGGAGAUAAUAACUAUCCCAUGCCUGAAGUUUGAUAGUCUUCAUAUUUCGAAGAAUCUCUGAGGUGGAUUUCAUUCUUUCAUCCUUGGAUUCCAUUAUCUUAGUUUGAUAACCUUUUUGGAUCCUUGUCAGGGGUAUGUUGCCAGUCAUCACUAUCAGAGUUGCUCCUAAUGCAACAAGUGCCCCCUUUCCUAGAUUCAUGUGUAAAAUAUAGAUUGCCAAUGAUAUCUGGAUGGGUAGCAUCCAUAUUGUGUUAAGGUACCAUAUAAAAUCCGUAAUCCUUUGGACAUCUACGCUCAUGUAGUUGAUUAUCUCUCCGCUGGUAUAGCUUUGGCGUGAUUGACUUGAUAAAAGCAGGCCCUUUUGGUAAAUGUGCGAUAUUAGAGCAGCUCUGAGCCGAAGGCCUAACUGCCGAGCUCCAAAUAUCCACUGCCUUUGUGCUAUUGUCUCAACCAUUUUUGCACCAAGAAAGGCUAGUGCAAGAAGAUAACCACUUCUUAACCCCCGAAGUUUCUUUUCAUUGAGGAAAUUUACAAAGUCAUCUAUGAGGUAGGGACCUACAUAAGAUGAUCCUGCACUAAUAACUGCAAAGAGUGCAUUGAUUGCUGCUUUUUUCCUUGCAAAUACAUAAAUGGCCUUAUAGAUAGAUGGGUUUGUGGUUCCAUCCUUUUCCUUUACAUACUUCAGGCUUUCAUCAAAGGAAUCAGAUAGAAAUCUUGCAGAGUCCCUGAAGUCGACAUCUGGGACUUCAUCCUGGUCAAGGGGCUUCUUGACUCCAACUUCAAAUAGUGGGUUAAGCCAAGAGAAGGUGAUCAGUUGGAUAAGAGUAGCUUUUCCAUAUGGACUGUCCCUUUUAGCUUCUGAAUGCUUUUCAUUCUUUCCAUUUAGAAGUGGUUCAGUUGUGCUGUCUGAGAUGUCAAGAAUUAUGCCGGUUUUCCCUCUGAUAGAGAUAACCAGAAGACAGGCAGAUGCAAUAAGACCAAGGAUAUCCACAUAGUCAGAAAGUCCGAGUUGUUCGUCACUUGUGAUGACAAAAUGGGCAUCU